GAGGUUCCUACCUACCUGAGGCCUUCCAAAGCGGCGGCCGGCAGGAGCAGCUGUACGGGAAUGAAUGUAUGUCACAGCAGAGGAGGGCUACGAAGAUGCUCGGCGCUGGAGCACCUCUCCUCUGAAGGCGGGCUGAGGGAGCUGGGCUCGAGGAGACCUCAUUCUUCUUCCAGCUCUUCAGGAGGAGCUCAUGAACGGGGGUUUGAUAGUCUGCACGUGUGAAGUGGCCCCGUCUCUUCAAGGAAAGGCAGCACCGGUACGUGAAGGCAAAUGAAACAAACUCGCUUGAGGACUGAGUCACCUGCUGCUGUUUCUUCAGCGGGAGUGACUACCGUGUUAAAGAAAGAAAGUGCACCAUCAGUACUUGAAACAAAACGCUCUUUUAUUGUCAGAGUAUUUCUGGAUUAGAUGUAUAGAACUCGGACUGCCACUUAGAAUUGGUGCUGUUUGGGAUGGCAGUGCUGUCUCAGUGCCUGCUAUAAGGGGAGAUCACACCUCUCAACUGUUGGCUCGUAAAGCAGAGCUGGGCUGCGUGAAGUUGGUGUGCAAAUGAAAGAAUGUCAUGCUGCAGCAUACCCCCCCUAAAAAAAA